CCUACGGGUGGCUGCAGUGGGGAAUAUUGGACAAUGGGCGAAAGCCUGAUCCAGCCAUGCCGCGUGUGUGAAGAAGGCCUUCGGGUUGUAAAGCACUUUCAGUAGGGAAGAAAGCCUUGGGGCUAAUACCCUCGAGGAAGGACAUCACCCACAGAAGAAGCACCGGCUAACUCCGUGCCAGCAGCCGCGGUAAUACGGAGGGUGCGAGCGUUAAUCGGAAUUACUGGGCGUAAAGCGCGCGUAGGCGGUCUGAUAAGCCGGUUGUGAAAGCCCCGGGCUCAACCUGGGAACGGCAUCCGGAACUGUCAGGCUAGAGUGCAGGAGAGGAAGGUAGAAUUCCCGGUGUAGCGGUGAAAUGCGUAGAGAUCGGGAGGAAUACCAGUGGCGAAGGCGGCCUUCUGGACUGACACUGACGCUGAGGUGCGAAAGCGUGGGUAGCAAACAGGAUUAGAUACCCCGGUAGUC
rnacentral:rRNA from 1 species